UGGGGAAUUUUGCACAAUGGGGGAAACCCUGAUGCAGCGACGCCGCGUGAUUUAGAAGGCCUUCGGGUUGUAAAAAUCUUUUCUAUGGGAAGAAAAUGACAGUACCAUAGGAAUAAGGACCGGCUAAUUACGUGCCAGCAUCCGCGGUAAUACGUAAGGUCCGAGCGUUUUCCGGAAUCAUUGGGCGUAAAGGGUACGUAGGCGGGUAAGCAAGUUAGAAGUGAAAUCCUAUAGCUCAACUAUAGUAAGCUUUUAAAACUGCUCAUCUUGAGGUAUGGAAGGGAAAGUGGAAUUCCUAGUGUAGCGGUGAAAUGCGCAGAUAUUAGGAGGAAUACCGGUGGCGAAGGCGACUUUCUGGCCAUAACCUGACGCUGAGGUACGAAAGCGUGGGUAGCAAACAGG
rnacentral:rRNA from 1 species